GAUCAUGGCUCAGAUUGAACGCUGGCGGCAGGCCUAACACAUGCAAGUCGAACGGUAACAGGAAGCAGCUUGCUGCUUUGCUGACGAGUGGCGGACGGGUGAGUAAUGUCUGGGAAACUGCCUGAUGGAGGGGGAUAACUACUGGAAACGGUAGCUAAUACCGCAUAACGUCGCAAGACCAAAGAGGGGACGUCGUCGGUCUCGUC
rnacentral:rRNA from 1 species